GGUGAGAUGGCCGAGCGGUCUAAGGCGCCAGACUAAGGAUCAACUUCGAAUUGAAGUUCACUUUGUGCAAUCCCCAAUCUGGUCAUUAAUUUGGCGUGGGUUCGAAUCCCACUCUCAUCA